rnacentral:lncRNA from 1 species
ACAGCAUACAACAAAGAUUACAUAAGGAAGGUAUCGAAACGUAAAUACUAUGCUAUUACAUGCAUUCAACUCACAUACAUUUACAUAUUACAUUCUUAACUCUUUUUAGCUUCCAAAUACAAUCCAAGUUACUACAAUUUAUUACAACAUUGUUCUUUUCAUUCCUUUUACAUCUCUAAGUAGUCGACUCAGGGUACUGCUAUUUCUGGUCUCGGUGGUAGGGCUCUAACUACGGAGCUACGCCCCGCGCGGCUCGCGUGUGAACCUGUACCCCUAAAAAUAACACGGGGGUGAGAACUAUUGUCCAUAGUUUUCAGUGAGUACGGCCACCUAAGGGAAGAGCUCGACCCACCAGGUCCAAAGGAGGCACUGCAAACAUGUUAGUCCAACAGAUAUAUAUAUAUGACAUCAUAUAAUUCAUGUCCAUGCCUCACAAAUGCAACUAUGCAAAUUCAUACAACUCAUGCAAGUAGAUAAAUUGAUUCUACUCUCUAUCAUAUGUCAUUCACUAUUCUUAUUCGUUC